rnacentral:lncRNA from 1 species
GAGACACCGCCGGGUUUGGGGCGCCGCAGUCCCGGGAACGGAGGGUCUCACUCUGUUGACCAGGAUGGAGUACAGUAAUACAGUCAUGGCUCACUGCAGCCUCAACCUCCCAAGCUCAAGCAGCAGGAAGAUCUUUUGAGGGUAAGGAGUUUGAGACCAGCCUGGGCAACAUCAUGAAACUCUGUCUCUCUAUGAAAAAUAACAAAAUCAUUCCGGUGUGGUGAUGCAUGCUUGUAGUCCUAGCUGCUCGGAAGGCUGAGCCAGGAGGAUCCCUUGAGCCCAGGAGUUCAAGGUUACAGUGAGCUGUGAUCACCCUGCACUUCAGCCUGUUGCACUUCAGCCUGAGCAACAGAGUGAGACCCCAUCUCAAAAAUUAAAAAAAAGAAUU